CUGCAUGGCUGUCGUCAGCUCGUGUCGUGAGAUGUUGGGUUAAGUCCCGCAACGAGCGCAACCCUUGUCAUUAGUUGCUACAUUCAGUUGGGCACUCUAAUGAGACUGCCGGUGACAAGCCGGAGGAAGGUGGGGAUGACGUCAAGUCCUCAUGGCCCUUAUAGGUGGGGCUACACACGUCAUACAAUGGCUGGUACAAAGGGUUGCCAACCCGCGAGGGGGAGCCAAUCCCAUAAAGCCAGUCGUAGUCCGGAUCGUAGUCUGCAACUCGACUACGUGAAGUCGGAAUCGCUAGUAAUCGUGGAUCAGAAUGUCACGGUGAAUACGUUCCCGGGUCUU
rnacentral:rRNA from 1 species